UACGAAGGGGGCUAGCGUUGUUUGGAAUUACUGGGCGUAAAGCGUGCGCAGGCUGUUUUGCAAGUCAGGGGUGAAAUCCCAGGGCUCAACCCUGGAAUUGCCUUUGAGACUGCGAGACUAGGGUGAGGGAGAGGUGAGUGGAAUUCCCAGUGUAGAGGUGAAAUUCGUAGAUAUUGGGAAGAACACCCGUGGCGAAGGCGGCUCACUGGCCCUCUACCGACGCUCAUGCGCGACAGCGUGGGGAGCAAACAGG
rnacentral:rRNA from 1 species